CCUACCCUGCCAAGGCUGGAUGAACAAAUAUUGACUGGGUAACGCCUCUGGGGACGCCCCUGGAUCGUCAGCAUGGGGAUAUUCGGAAGUUGCGAGAACAUUAUCGAAUACAAUCAUGCAACUGCCUUUUGCGUAAGCGAAUGUUAAAACACUAUAAUCAACAAUGCUGACCGUUGGCACUGCCGCCAACAAUUCGUCAGCUGUGUAUGACAGACUAGGAGGCCGGUUAACACACCUGUCCCUUCUGGUCAUAUGUGGCACCUUGAAGGACACUAGAGCCACUUCCUACACACCGGAAGCGAUUUCGUCUCGCUACUACGUGUCUCUGACCUAGCCUACUGGCUGAAAUCUCCGCCUACGCUGCCUCAGUGUCUUCAAGCGCCAGCUUAGUUUUGGCAAAGCCAUUUUACAAAUUUACAAUAAGUUUUGCGCGUUUGAAGUAAACCGCUGCAGCAUUUAGUUCAGCGUUACGCAGAGGUGGCAUGUACAAAUUAUACCUUGCGUGUGCUAUGAACAUUCGAACAGUUUGUCGCUCUUAUGUAUCGAUCUUAUAUAUUGUGCUUUGAUUUACACACUGUAUUGGGUCCUUCGUUUGCCAUCAACGAAUGUUUUCUGCAGCUGCAUUCUUUGCCACGUACAAAAAAAUGCUUGUUGUUUUCUUGCUUAGCUUGUGUAAUCACUGAAAACUUAAAAUCACUGAACACAGUAAAAAUUUGGGUAUGUUUGUGCACCACCUUCGUAACGAGUAGCGCAAGGGAAAACGCGGAUACCUUAGCGCUCUACGGCGCCAGUUGUCAUAUUACAUGAAAGCGCACCAUCUAAUAUGUUACGCGAAAUUGUGUCCGCUGUACGAAACAGUUGUUAUACCUUGCUUGUUACUUGCGUCCUCUUAAGCCCGUUUGUUCUUAUUGAUGACAAAGUUGCAUGUACACGUGUUAAUGCAAUCAGCCCUCAGGCGUGGUUAGAUAUGCAGCGUUUAACGCCGUGAAAUAUAGUACACAGCAAGCAUAUUGCGUUGCCUGCGUGAAUAACCAUGUGUUAACGAAAAGAAAAGUAAGAGCUGCCCAAUAUUCCUGUGCAAAAUUGUGUGACAGUAUAUCACUUGUAACGUGCUGGGGGGGGGGGGGGGGGAGGUUAUAGGGCAGUGCGCAGUGACAUCCUGUCGACCAUCUGUAAUCAUCAACGAUUAUUCUUGUCUGUUUGUAUCGAUUGAGAAUCGUUCUUACAGUUCCAUUCCAGAGGGGCAGAUCGCACCAUUGGUAUCCCGGGUGUGAACCCGUAUUUUAGCCGAUAUGCGAGUACAAUAA
rnacentral:lncRNA from 1 species